rnacentral:rRNA from 1 species
GACAGAGGUGCCAAGCGUUAGGCGGAAUCACUGGGCUUAAAGCGUGUGUAGGCGGAUGUCUAAGUGCCUUGUGAAAUCCCACGGCUCAACCGUGGAACUGCUUGGCAUACUGGAUGUCUUGAGCCAGCUAGGGGCUACCGGAACAAAUGGUGGAGCGGUGAAAAUGCGUAGAUAUCAUUUGGAACGCCAAUGGUGAAAACAGGUAGCUGGGGCUGUGCUGACGCUGAGACACGAAAGCCAGGGGAGCGAACGGG